rnacentral:rRNA from 1 species
AAUGGGGGCAACCCUGAUCCAGCCAUGCCGCGUGUGUGAAGAAGGCCUUAGGGUUGUAAAGCACUUUCAGUGGGGAGAAAGGUGAUUCACCUAAUACGUGAGUCAAUUGAUGCUACCCACAGAAGAAGCACCGGCUAACUCCGUGCCAGCAGCCGCGGUAAUACGGAGGGUGCAAGCGUUAAUCGGAAUUACUGGGCGUAAAGCGCACGUAGGUGGUUUGUUAAGCCAGCUGUGAAAUCCCCGGGCUCAACCUGGGCACUGCAGUUGGAACUGGCAAGCUAGAGUAGGGUAGAGGGGUGUGGAAUUCCAGGUGUAGCGGUGAAAUGCGUAGAUAUCUGGAGGAACAUCAGUGGCGAAGGCGACACCCUGGACUCAUACUGACACUGAGGUGCGAAAGCGUGGGGAGCAAA